rnacentral:snRNA from 11 species
UUCCGCAAAAUUAACUACAUUCGUAUUAAUCUUUCGCCUUUUACUAAAGAUUACCGUGUGGUUGGUUUACUAAAUGCGGCUUCAACCAAUUUCUGUGCCCCUCCUUGCGAGGGGAA